rnacentral:rRNA from 1 species
GAUGAACGCUGGCGGCGUGCCUAAUACAUGCAAGUAGAACGCUGAAGGAGGAGCUUGCUCUUCUGGAAGAGUUGCGAACGGGUGAGUAACGCGUAGGUAACCUGCCUCUUAGCGGGGGAUAACUAUUGGAAACGAUAGCUAAUACCGCAUAAAAGUCGACAUUGCAUGAUGCUGACUUGAAAGGUGCAAAUGCAUCACUAAGAGAUGGACCUGCGUUGUAUUAGCUAGUUGGUGAGGUAACGGCUCACCAAGGCGACGAUACAUAGCCGACCUGAGAGGGUGAUCGGCCACACUGGGACUGAGACACGGCCCAGACUCCUACGGGAGGCAGCAGUAGGGAAUCUUCGGCAAUGGGGGCAACCCUGACCGAGCAACGCCGCGUGAGUGAAGAAGGUUUUCGGAUCGUAAAGCUCUGUUGUAAGAGAAGAACGAGUGUGAGAGUGGAAAGUUCACGCUGUGACG